CUCCCCAGUCAUGUGAUUUGUGCACCCGCUAUCAAUGAUCCAACUUGAGCCCCCAGAUGCAUAAACCUACAAAACAAGUUUAGGCCUUGUUGUUAGGUACCUAAACGGUCUUGGGUCCUUUCACAUUAGAAACAAGCACCUUGGGUACCCAAACACAAGUCUUGGAGCCCUUGUGUUUGCCCCCAACAUAUUUGGCAACUACUUUGCCUGAUUUGUUAGUAAGCACAUAAGAAGCAUCAAAAGUCUUAAAUGAAAUAUUAGGUUCAUUUGAUGCAAUAGGAGAUUUCUUUUUAGGCAAUUUAACAUGAGUGGAUUGCCUAGAACUAGAUGUCUCCCUCUUAUACAUAAAAGCAUGAUGAGAACCAGAGUGAGACUUCCUAGAAUGAAUUCUCCUAAUCUUAUGUUCGGGAUAACCAGCAGGAUAUAAAAUAUAGCCCUCGUUAUCCUGAACCAUGGGAGCUUUGCCCUUAACAAAGUUAGACAAUUUCUUAGGGGCAUUAAGCUUGACAUUGUCUCCCUUUUGGAAGCCAAUGCCAUCUUAAUGCCAGGGUGUCUCCCACUAUAAAGCAUACUUCUAGCAAAUUUAAUUUUUUCAUUUUCUAUUUCAUGUUCAUUAAUUUUGCUAGUUAGUUGUGCUAUGUGAUCAUUUUGUUGUUUAAUUAAAGCUAGGUGAUCAUGAAUAGCAUCAACAUUAAUAUCUCUACAUCUAGUACAAAUAGAAACAUGAGCAACACUAGAUAUAGAAGGUUUGCAAUCAUUUAAUUCAUCAAUCUUAGCAUGUAACAUUUCAUUUUCAUUUCUAAGAUUGGAAAUCGAAACAUUGCAAACAUUCAAGUCUUUAGCCUUAGAAAUUAAUUUAUCAUUCUCAAUCUUAAGGCAAGAAAUUGAUUCAUUUAAUUUGUCAAUCUUAGCAAGUAAACUAGCAUUAUCAUUUUUAAGAUUGGCAAAAGAAUCAUCACAAACAUUUAACUUCUCAACCUUAGCAAUCAAUUUAGCAUUCUCAAAUCUAAGGUUGGAAAUAGUGUCAUGGCAAGUGCUUAGCUCACUAGUUAAUUUUUCACAAUUUUCUAUCUCCUGAGCAUAAGCAUUUUUAACCUUAACAUGCUUCUUGUUUUCCUUAAUAAGGAAGUCCUCUUGGCUAUCCAAGAGUUCGUCCUUCUCAUGAAUAGCACUAAUUAAUUCAUUCAAUUUUUUCUUGUGUUGCAUGUUUAGGUUGGCAAAAGAGUAAGCAAAUCAUCCUCAUUAUCACUAGAGCUAGCCUCAUCACUAGAUGUUGCAUAUUUAGUAGAAGCUCUAGAUUUUACCUUCUUCUUUUUGUCGUCCUUUGCCAUGAGGCACUUGUGGCCGACGUUGGGGAAGAGGAGGCCCUUGUUGACCGUGAUGUUGGUGGCGUUCUCGUCGGAGAGGAGUCGGUGGAGCUCUCAUCGGAGUCCCACUCCCGGCAUACAUGGGCAUCGCCACCCUUCUUCUUGUAAUACUUCUUCUUUUCCUUCCUUCUUCCCUUCUUGUUGUCGCCCCUGUCACUUGAUAAUGGACAUUUAGCAAUAAAAUGACCGGGCUUACCACACUUGUAGCAAACUUUCUUGGAGCGGGGCUUGUAAUCUUUCCCCCUCCUUUGCUUGAGGAUUUGGCGAAAGCUUUUGAUGAUUAGUGCCAUCUCCUCGUUGUCGACCUUGGAGGCGUCGAUGGGGAGCCUACUUGACGUAGACUCUUCUUUCUUCUCCUCUGUCGCUUUGAAUGCGAUGGGUUGCACCUCGGGUGUGGAGGUGGUGCCUCGCUCGAUGAUUUGUUUGGUGCCUUUGAUCAUUAACUCAAAGCUCACAAACUUUCCUAUAACCUCCUCGAGAGACAUUAGCUUAUAUCUAGGAUCACCACAAAUUAAUUGAACUUGUGUAGGAUUAAGAAAAACGAGUGAUCUUAGAAUAACCUUGAUCAUUUCAUGGUCAUCCCAUUUUGUGCUCCUGAGGUUACGUACUUAAUUCACCAAGGUAUUGAGCCGGUUGUGCAUGGUUUGUGGCUCCUCCCCUUAGUUCAGCAUGAAUCGACCGAGCUCCCCCUCGGUCGUUUCCCGCUUGGUGAUCUUGGUCACCUCAUCUCCUUCGUGUGCGGUCUUGAGCACAUCCCAAAUCUCUUUGGCACUCUUCAACCCUUGCACCUUAUUAUACUCCUCUCGACUUAGAGAGGCGAGGAGUAUAGUAGUGGCUUGGGAGUUGAAGUGCCGGAUUUGGGCUACCUCGUCCGAAUCAUAGCCUUCAUCCCCUACGGAUGGUUCCUGCGCUCCAAACUCAACAAUGUCCCAAAUGCUAGCGUGGAGUGAGGUUAGAUGGUGCCUCAUUUUAUCACUCCACAUACAAUAAUCUUCACCGUCAAAAACCGGUGGUUUGCCUAAUGGGGCGGAAAGUAAAGGAGUGUGUUUGGAAAUGCGAGGAUAGCGUAAGGGGAUCUUACUAAACUUCUUGCGCUCAUGGCGCUUAGAAGUGACGGACGGCGUGUCGGAGCCGGAGGUGGAAGGCGACGAAGAAUCGGUCUCGUAGUAGACCACUUUCUUCAUUUUCUUCUUCUUGUCGCCACUCCGGUGCGACUUGACGCGGGGAGGUGAUUCCUCCCUCUUCUUGUUGCCAGACUCCCCCAAUGGAGCUUUCCCGUGGCUUGUGGCGGGCUUCUCGCCGGUCACCAUCUCCUUCUUGGCGUGAGCUCCCGACAUCACUUCGAGCGGUUAGGCUCUAAUGAAGUACCAGGCUCUGAUACCAAUUGAAAGUCGCCUAGAGGGGGGUGAAUAGGCAAAUCUGAAAUUUACAAACUUUAAGCACAACUACAAGUCGGGUUAGCGUUAGAAAUAAAGUUGAGUCCGAAAGAGAGGGCGAAAACAAAUCAACUGAAGAAAUAGAGCGGAUGACACGGUGAUUUGUUUUACCGAGGUUCGGUUCUUGCAAACCUACUCCCCAUUGAGGUGGUCACAAAGACCGGGUCUCUUUCAACCCUUUCCCUCUCUCAAACGGUCACCUAGACCGAGUGAGCUUUUCUCCUCAAUCAAAUGGGUCACUUAGACCACACAAGGACCACCACAACUUGGUGUCUCUUGCUUUGAUUACAAAGGUGUUGAGAACAAGAAAUGAGAAGAAGAAAAGCGAUCCAAGAACAAGAGCUCAAAGAACACGAGCCAAAAACUCUCUCUCUAGUCACUAUUUGCUUGGAGUGGAAAUGGGACUUGGAGAGGCUUUGAUUCUAUUUGAUUUGUGUCUUGUAUUGAUUGCACUAGCUCUUGUAUUGAAUGUGAAGUCUAAAAAAACUUGGAUGCCUUGAAGUGUGGUGGUUGGGGGGUAUUUAUAAUCCCAACCACCAAAAUGGCCAUUGGGGAGGCUGUCUGUCGAUGGGCGCACCGGACACUGUCUGGUGCACCAGCCACGUCACCCAACUGUUAGGGUUCGACCGUUGGAGCACUGACAGAUGGGGCCACCGGAUAGUCCGGUGGUGCACCGGCAGUCACUGUUCACUGUCCGGUGUGCCUUCUGGCACCUGCUCUGACUCUGCGCGCUCUGUCCGCGCAUUGUAGCGCUUUUCAGGUUUCCGUUGGAGUCGACCGUUGCGCUGUAGCUGUUGCUCCGCUGGCACACCGGACAGUCCGGUGAAUUAUAGCGGAGUGGCAUUUCCAGAAACUCGAAGGUGACGAGUUUGGAGUUGAACUCCCUGGUGCACCGGACACUAUUCGGUGCGCCAGACCAGGGCAGCCUUCGGUUGGUUUUGCUCCUUUCUUUUUGAACCCUGUCUUGGACUUUUUAUUGGUUUGUGUUGAACCUUUGGCACCUGUAGAACUUAUAAUCUAGAGCAAACUAGUUAGUCCAAUUAUUUGUGUUGGGCAAUUCAACCACCAAAAUCAUUUAGGAAAAGGUUUGACCCUAUUUCCCUUUCAGCCGUGGCUAAAAAUCACCGGACUGUCUGGUGAGUCGGAGCCACCCGAGCCAACGGUCGGCAGCAAAAUCAGCGGGCGACACGUGGCCCAAGCCAACGGUCGUUGGGCACACCGGACUGUCUGGUGCGUCAACGAGACAGCAGGCUCAACGGUCGGAUGCGCCAGGAAAGGAAAGAAAACGCGCAGCGGACUGCUACAGUAGUUGUCGGGUGGUGCACCGGACUGUCCGGUGCACCACUCGACAGAAGGCAGGAAUUGCCUUCCAAGUUGGUCUCCAAUGGCUCCUAGCUGCCUUGGGCCUAUAAAAGGGAUCCCUAGGCACAUGGAUCAAUAUACCAAGCAUUCAAGAAACAUCCUAAGACUCCCAGACUCCGCCUCCACGCAUUUGAUUCAUUAUGUUAGUGAUUUGAGCUUCGUUUGAGUUGCGAACUCCCUGUGCUGUGUUUCGAGCUCAAUUCUUGGCUUGUGUGCGUGUGUGUGCUACAGAUUCGAGUCUUGUGUUCAUUGCUUCCCUCCUUACUCCCGUGCCUCUUGUGAUCAAAACUUCGUAAGGGCGAGAGGCUCCAACUUGUGGAGAUUCCUCAGGAACAGGAAAAAGAUAUGAAAGAAAAUGAUCGUGGUAUUCAAGUCGAUCAUUGGAUCACUUAAAAGGGGUUGAGUGCAACCCUCGUCCAUUGGGAUGCCACAACGUGGAAGUAGGCAAGUGUUACUUGGCCGAACCACGGGAUAAAAAUCGUGUGUCUCUUGUGUUUCUUUCUCUGUGAUUGUUUUGUUCGCAAGAGCUCGCUCCAUAGCAACUUGGUUAAAUCACACUAACACUUUCAUAAUCAAGUUUGUGGCUAUUUAGUGUUUGAUUUUACAGGAUCACCUAUUCACCCCCUCCACUUCUAGGUGCUCUCAAUUGGUAUCGGAGCCGUACUCUUCAUCUAAGGGACUAAUCGCCCGAAGAUAUGGAUCCUAAGGGUAAGCGGAUGGUGAUCAAUGACAGGGAGAAGGAGUCUCUCUUCAAUGAGCCAAGAGACAACAAGCCCACUGACUCAGGAUCCAGUCACAAGAAGAGGGACAAGAAGAAGAAGAAGCACAAUAAGAAGAUCAUCUACUACGACAGCGGUGCCUCCUCUUCUUCACCAAGGGAGGACGACGACGACGACUCCUCGUCCACGAAAAAGACGAUUAAUCAAAACUACUCCUUUGAUUAUUCCCGUAUUCCGUAUAAUUCAAGUGCCCAUUUACUCUCUAUUCCUCUUGGGAAACCCCCACACUUUGAUGGAGAGGAUUGCUCAUUUUGGAGUCAUAAAAUGUGUAGUCUCUUAUUUUCUCUCCAUCCUAGCAUUUGGGAAAUUGUGGAAAAUGGGAUGCAUUUUGAUAGUACGGAUAAUCCUAUGUUUAUAAAUGAACAAAUUCAUAAAAAUGCCCAAGCUACUACUGUUUUGCUAGCAUCUCUUUGCAGGGAUGAGUACAAUAAAGUGAGUGGCUUGGACAACGCUAAGCAAAUCUAGGAUACUCUCAAGAUAUCACAUGAGGGUAACGACGCCACUAUGAUCACCAAGAUGGAACUGGUGGAAGGUGAGCUGGGGAGGUUCGCGAUGAUCAGGGGAGAGGAGCCAACACAGACCUACAACAGGCUCAAAACCCUGGUCAACCAAAUCCGAAGGUAUGGAAGCACAAGAUGGACGGAUCAUGAUGUCGUCCGACUCAUGCUCAGGUCAUUUACAGUAAUUGACCAUCAUCUUGUAAAUCUUAUUCGUGAAAACCCCAGGUACACCAAGAUGACGUCCGAGGAGAUACUCGGAAAAUUCGUGAGUGGGUGUAUGAUGGUGAAAGAAGCUCGAUAUGUGGACGAUGCCUUGAACGGCCCAUUGCUCGUCUACGAGCCGUAGCCCGUUGCUCUCAAAGCAACUAGCAGCAGGGAGACGCUACCAAGCAAGGUAGCACAAGUAGAGGCUGCCGGGCUCAAUGAGGAUGAGACGGCGCUUAUCAUCAAGCGCUUCAAGACCGCACUAAAAGGAUGCAAGGAGUACCCCAACAAGAACAAAACAAGGGGAAAGGGCUCCUGCUUCAAAUGUGGUAAGAGUGGUCGUUUCAUAGCUCAAUGCCCCGAUAAUGAUAAUGACCAGGGACAAGAAAAGCAUGGGAAGAAAGAGAAGAAGAAUUACCGGAAGGCGAAGGGCGAGGCACAUCUUGGAAAGGAAUGGGAUUCUGACUGCUCUUCAUCUAACUCCGACGAUGAAGGAUUGGCUGCAUCGGCUUUCAACAAAUCUUCGCUCUUCCCCAAUGAACGCCAUACUUGCCUUAUAGCUAAGGAGAAGAAGGUACGUAUUUAGGACACUCCCAAGUAUACUUCUUCUAGUGAUGAAGAGUCAUCUGAUGAUGAAGUAGACUAUACUGAUUUGUUUAAAGGAUUAGAUAGAAAUAAAGUAGACAAAAUAAAUGAAUUAAUUUAUGCCCUCAAUGAAAAGGAUAGGUUGCUAGAGAAGCAAGAAGAUAUCUUGUAUGAGGAACAUGAUAAAUUUGUUAGUGUUCAAAAAUCUCUUGCUCUAGAAAUUAAAAGAAAUGAAAUGCUAUCCUCUCAGUUGUCUGCUUGUCAUGAAUCUGUCUCUAGUCUAAAGGAGUUAAAUGAUGAAUUAAAUGCUAAACUAGAGAAAGCAAAUGCAACGCAUUCAUGUGUAGAACAUGUACUUAUUUGCAAUAGGUGUAAAGAUGUUAAUUUUGAUAAACACGCUAUCACUAUUGCUAAAUUAAACAAUGAGGUUGCAAGUCUUAAUCCUCAACUUAAGACUUGAAAAGAUGAUUAUGAUAAAUUAAAAUUUGCUAGGGAUGCCUAGUAGACAUCCCUCAAUUAAGGAUGGACUUGGUUUUUGAAAGGAAACCAACAACUUAACAAGCCAAAGGACUUCCGAUCUCAACAAGGAGAAAGGGAAGGCCCCAAUGGCUAGUAGCUCUCAAAAGAACCAUGCUUAUAUUUAUGAUAGGAAAUUCUCUAAUCAUGCUCAUAAUGAAAGAUGCUAUGAUCAUAUUGGUUAUCAUAAUGCUACAUUUAACUCCCAUGCUAUGUUCGCAUCUAGUUUCGCUGUUGUUCAUGGUAGAAGUAGGCCUAGGAGAAAUUAUGCUACUUCUCAUGCUCCUAGGAAUGUUUAUAAUGGACCUAUUACUGUUUAUCAUGCUUGCAAUACUUCCUUUGUACUUUAAUGCAAGAAUGCAAAAGUAGUUGCUAGGAAGUUGGGAUCCAAAUGCAAGGAAGACAAAACUUGCAUAUGGGUUCCAAAAACUGUUGUGACUAACCUUGCAGGACCCAACAAGAGUUGGGUACCUAAAACCCAAGCUUAAAUUCCUUGCAGGUUUAUGCAUCCAGGGGCUCAUGCUAGAUUAUCGAUAGUGGAUGCACAAACCACAUGACGGGGGAGAAGAAUAUGUUCACCUCCUACGUCAAGAACAAGGAUUCCCAGGAUACGAUCAUCUUUAGAGAUGGGAACCAAGGCAAGGUCAAAGGCUUGGGCAAGAUAGCUAUCACCAACGAGCACUCAAUAUCAAAUGUAUUUUUAGUAGAGUCGCUCGGGUACAAUCUUCUGUCUGUAAGUCAAUUGUGUCACAUGGGCUAUAAUUGUUUAUCCACGAAUAUUGAUGUAUCUGUCUUUAGAAGGAGUGAUGGUUCAUUAGCUUUAAGGGUGUAUUAGACGGCAAGCUCUACUUAGUUGAUUUUUCGAAAGAGAAUGCCGAUCUAGAUGCAUGCUUAAUAGCUAAGACUAAUAUGGGCUGGCUUUGGCAUCGCCGUCUAGCACAUGUUGGGAUGAAGAACCUUCAUAAGAUUCUAAAGGGAGAUCAUGUGUUAGGACUAAUCGAUGUCUGUUUUGAGAAAGAUAGACCUUGUGCAGCAUGUCAGGCACGGAAACAGGUGGGAAGCACUCAUCACAACAAGAAUGUGAUGACAACAUCAAGACCACUGGAGCUUCUUCACAUGGAUCUCUUCGGACCCAUUGCCUACCUCAGCAUCGGGGAAAGUAAGUAUGGUCUUGUAAUAAUUGAUGAUUUUUCCCGCUUCACUUGGGUGUUCUUUUUGUAGGACAAAUCCGAAACUCAAGGGACCCUAAAGCGCUUCCUAAGGAGAGCUCAAAAUGAGUUUGAGCUUAAGGUGAAGAAGAUAAGAAGCGACAAUGGUCCGAGUUCAAGAAUCUACAAGUUGAAGAGUAUCUUGAGGAGGAAGGCAUCAAGCACGAGUUCUCCGCUCCCUACACACCACAGCAAAAUGGUGUGGUAGAAAGGAAGAACAGGAUGCUAAUCGACAUGGCAAGAACGAUGCUUGGAGAGUACAAGACACAUGAGUGGUUUUGGUCGGAAGCUGUAAACACAGCUUGCCAUGCCAUAAAUCGGCUCUACCUACACCAUCUCCUCAAGAAAACUUCCUAUGAACUCCUUAAUGGUAACAAACCCAAUGUCUCCUAUUUUCGUGUAUUUGGGAGCAAAUGCUACAUUCUGGUGAAGAAAGGUAGACAUUCUAAAUUUACUCCCAAGGUAGUAGUAGGUUUUUUACUAGGAUAUGACUCAAAUACAAAGGCAUAUAGGGUCUUCAACAAAUCAUCGAGAUUAGUUGAAAUCUCUAGCGACGUUGUAUUUGAUGAGACUAAUGGCUCUCCAAGAGAGCAAGUUGAUCUUGACGAUAUAGAUGAAGAAGAAGUUCCUACGGUCGCAAUGUGCACGAUGGCGAUAGGUGAUGUGCGACCACAGGUACUACAGGAAUAAGAUCAACCAUCUUCCUCGAUAAUGGUGCAUCCCCCAACUCAAGACUAUGAACAGGUACCUCAAGAAGAGGGGCAAGAUCAAGGGGGAGCACAAGAAGAACAGGUUAUGGAGGAAGAAGCACCACGGGUCCCUCCAACUCAAGUCCGAGCGUCGAUCCAAAGACAUCACCCCGUCGAUCAGAUUCUGGGUGACAUCAGCAAGGGAGUAACUACUCGCUCACGAUUAGCUAAUUUUUGUGAGCAUUACUCGUUUGUCUCUUCUAUUGAGCCUUUCAGGGCAGAAGAGGCCUUGCAGGAUCCGUACUGGGUGUUGGCCAUGCAGGAAGAGCUCAACAACUUCAAACGGAAUGAAGUCUGGAGCCUGGUGCCACGUCAAAAGCAAAACAUUAUGGGAACCAAGUGGGUGUUCCGCAACAAGCAAGACGAGCAUGGAGUGGUGACAAGAAACAAGGUUCGACUUAUGGCAAAAGGUUAUGCCCAAGUCGCAGGUUUGGAUUUUGAGGAGACUUUUGCUCCUGUGGCUAGGUUAGGGUCAAUUAGGAUUUUAUUAGCCUAUGCUGCUCACCAUUCCUUCAGGUUGUUCCUCAAUGGGCCAAUCAAGGAGGAGGUAUACGUGGAACAACCCCCUGGCUUUGAGGAUGACAGGUAUCCCGACCAUGUGUAUAAGCUUUCUAAGGCGCUCUAUGGACUUAAGCAAGCCCCAAGAGCAUGGUAUGAAUGCCUUAGAGAUUUCCAUAUUUCUAAUGCUUUCAAGGUUGGGAAAGCCGAUCCCACUCUCUUCACAAAGACAUGCAAUGGUGAUCUUUUUGUUUGCCAAAUUUAUGUCGAUGACAUAAUAUUUGGUUCCACUAACCAAGUCUUGUGAGGAGUUUAGCAGGGUGAUGAUGCAAAAGUUUGAGAUGUCGAUGAUGGGCGAGUUGACCUACUUCCUUGGAUUCCAAGUGAAGCAACUCAAGGACGGCACCUUCAUCUCCCAAACGAAGUACACUCAAGAUCUUCUCAAGAGGUUUGGGAUGAAGGACACCAAACCCGCGAAGACACCAAUGGGAACUGACGAACACCUAGACCUCAACAAAGGAGGUAAGUCUGUCGAUCAAAAGGCAUACCAAUCAAUGAUAGGUUCAUUACUUUAUCUUUGUGCUAGUAGACCGGACAUUAUGCUUAGUGUAUGCAUGUGUGCUAGAUUCCAAUCCGACCCCAAGGAGUGUCACCUUGUGGCCGUUAAGCGAAUUCUUAGGUAUUUAGUUUCUACGCCUUGCUUCGGGAUCUGGUAUCCAAAGGGGUCUACCUUUGACUUGAUUGGAUACUCAUACUCCGACUAUGUCGGGUGCAAGGUUGAUAGGAAGAGCACAUCAGGGACGUGCCAAUUUCUAGGAAGGUCCCUGGUGUCCUAGAGUUCCAAGAAAAAACAUCCAUUGCCCUAUCCACCACUGAGGCCGAGUACGUUGCUGCAGGAUAGUGUUGCGCGCAACUGCUCUAGAUGAGGCAACCCCUCUGGGACUUUGGCUACAAUCUGAGAAAAGUACCACUCCUAUGUGACAAUGAGAGUGCAAUCCGCUUGGUGGAUAAUCCUGUUGAAAACAGCCACACUAAGCACAUAGACAUCCGGCAUCACUUCCUGAGAGACCACCAGCAAAAGGGAGAUAUCGAUGUGUACCACAUUAGCACCGAGAACCAGCUAGUCGAUAUCUUCACUAAGCCUUUAGAAGAGAAAAGGUUUUGCAGGUUGCGUAGUGAGCUAAGGGUGUGUUUGGUUUGGCUUUUGGCUUUGGCUUUUUCCCCUAAAAGCCAAAAGCCAAACCAAAGGGCUGGAUCCAGAAAGCAACUUUUUCUAAAAGCUGACUUUCUCGCAGUACAAAACUGAAAGCACCUCUAGACCUGCUUUUAGUGGCUUUUGGAUGGAACUGUGAAAACAUAUAUCGAAGAACUUUUAACGGUUUAGUGAUUUCUACCAAACAGUUUUUAGCUUUUUAACAGCUCACAACCCACGGCAGCUUUUUCCAUAGCUCACAGCCCACAACAGCUUUUUUCACAGUCACAGCCCAACCAAACAGACCCUAAAUGUCUUACGCGUAACUUGGAUUGAUCUAUAGCAUACAUGUAUUCUAUGCCUUUGAUCAUGUUACUUUGUGCAUUUAAAUCAAUUAUUGUUUAUGUGUGGUGCUCAAGUUGUACAAGUCAUCCCCCGGACCUCACAAGUCUGUAUGCAAAUGAUGCACAUGUUUAGGGGGAGUUGUGCUACAACUUGAUUCCUUUUGAGACUGACUUGGUUGUUUAAGUACAUUUGAAGUAGUCUAGAAGGAACAUUGAAAGGGAAUAUGAACUUGGACGACGACAAGACUUCCACUGCACUCCAGUAUUAGUGUAUUUAUUUCCAAGUUCAUACUUAUGCUCUCAUUGCCUUUUUGCUCUUAUUUUGACAUUUUGGUGAGGCAAUGGGGUUACAUGGCCAAAAGUUAUCCUGUUUUGGUGCUUAACGCCAAAGGGAGAAAUUAAGGCCAAAGCAAAUGGAUCAGCCAACCACUUGUGAAUUUUGAAAAUAGUAGAGUUAGAAUUUGUGUUUUGUCCAAAAUACUCUUAUUGCAAAAUUUGGUCUCUUAUGGGGAAAAUUUUGAUUAUAGGAAAAAGGGGGAGUUUUUGGCACUUGAUCAAUUUUACUCUUGGAAUAUCUCUCUAUUUUCUCAAACAAGUGUGUUUGACUUAGAGAUAGGAAAAAGAAUUUGAUUUGCAAAAACAAACCAAGUGGUGGCAAAGAAUGAUCCAAAUAUGCCAAAUCCUAAGUAAAGAGAAUUUGGUCUUCAAUUUGAAUUGAUAUUACACUUUUUGUUGCUUUUUAAUGUGUUGGCAUAAAUCACCAAAAAGGGGAGAUUGAAAGGGAAAUGUGCCCUUGGGCCAUAUAAGACUAUCUCAAAUUAUCUCAAAUUUAUCAUAUAAAUUCAUAGAUUUACAACUUUCCAAAGUACAACUUAUAGCACACUCUUCUACUUGCUUCGUUAUAACAUGAAUGUAGUAUAUAACUAUCUCUAUUAUAUGAUUUAAGUUAAUAUAUAAAUAUAUUACAUAUAUAAAAUAUAAACUUAAUUAGUUUUAUCUAAAUUAUAAUUAUUAAAAUGGAAUUCAAUUCCAACGAAACAAACGGGGCCUAAGUGUUUUGGUGAUUAGAUGUCCAACACAUAUUGAUUGAGUUCUUAUAAGUGAGAACUGCAAAUCGAAGAACAAGGUAUGUUUCUAGACUUAGUAAAUUGUUUUUGAAUAUUAACAUUUUAUCUAAGUGCUAGAAACAGUGCCAAGAAAAGAGGAAAAGAACUGAAGAAGAAUUGACUAAGUCAGCCAAAACCAGCACCAGCCUGGCACACCGGACUGCCCAGUGGUGCACCGGAUAGUGUCCGGUGCCCCAGGCUGGCUCGGCGCCAACUGGGCGUUCUCGGGAAUCGGCAGGGCGACGUGGCUAAAAUUCACCGGACUGUCCGGUGGUGCACCAGACUGUUCGGUGAGCCUCCUGCGCCCGCGCCCAAGUACAUUGGCGAUGAACUCGUCGCUCUCAGGAAAAGGAAAAAGCGCUGCGACUAAAAAUCACCGGACUGUCCGGUGAGCGGAGCCACCCGAGCCAACGGUCGGCAGCGAAAUCAGCGGGCGACACGUGGCCUGAGCCAACGGUCGGUUGGGCACACCGGACUGUCCGGUGUGCACCGAACAGUGUCCGGUGCGCCAACGAGACAGCGGGCUCAACGGUCGGAUGCGCCGGGAAAGGAAAGAAAUCGCGCACCGGACUGCUACAGUAGCUGUCCGGUGGUGCACCGGAGAGACCAACUUGGAAGGCAAUUCCUGCCUUCUGUCGAGUGGUGCACCGGACUAUCCGGUGCACCACUCGACAGAAUGCAGGAAUUGCCUUCCAAGUUGGUCUCCAAUGGCUCCUAGCCACCUUGGGGCUAUAAAAGGGGCCCCUAUGCGAAUGGAGCAAUAUACCAAGCAUUCAAGAAACAUCCUGAGACUCCCAGACUCCGCCUCCACACAUUUGAUUCAUUGUGUUAGUGAUUUGAGCUCCGUUUGAGUUGCGAACUCCCUGUGCUGUGUUUCGAGCUUAAUUCUUGGCUUGUGUGGUGUGUGUGUGCUGCGGAUUCGAGUCUUGUGUUCGUUGCUUUCCCUCCUUACUCUCGUGCCUCUUGUGAUCAAAGCUUUAUAAGGGCGAGAGGCUCCAACUUGUGGAGAUUCCUCGCGAACGGGAAAAAGAUCUGAAAGAAAAAGACUGUGGUAUUCAAGUCGAUCAAUGGAUCACUUGAAAGGGGUUGAGUGCAACCCUCGUCUAUUGGGACACCACAACGUGGAAGUAGGCAAGUGUUACUUGGCCGAACCACGGGAAAAAAAUCUUGUGUCUCUUGUGUUGCUUUCUCUGUGAUUGUUUUGUUCGCAAGAGCUCGCUCCAUAGCAACUUGGUUAAAUCACACUAACACUUUCAUAAUCAAGUUUGUGGCUAUUUAGUGUUUGAUUUUACAGUAUCACCUAUUCACUCCCCCCCUCUAGGUGCUCUCAUUUAUUCGGCCCGAUAGCUUACAUAAGCAUCGGUGGGAGUAAGUACUGUCUAGUUAUUGUGGAUGAUUAUUCUCGCUUCACUUGGGUAUUCUUUAUGCAAGAAAAAUCACAAACCCAAGAGACCUUAAAGGGAUUCUUAAGACGAGCUCAAAACGAGUUCAGAUUAAGAAUUAAAAAGAUAAGAAGCGAUAAUGGGACAGAGUUCAAGAACUCACAAAUCAAAGGCUUUCUUGAGGAUGAGCGCAACAAGCAUGAGUUCUCUUCUCCCUACACACCUCAACAAAAUGGUGUAGUGGAGAGGAAGAAUAGAACUUUACUGGAUAUGGCUAGAACCAUGUUUGAUGAGUACAAGACUCCGGACCGGUUUUGGGCUGAGGCAAUUAACACCGCCCGCUACUCCAUCAACCAGCUCUACCUUCACCGAAUCCUCAAGAAGACAUCAUAUGAACUCAUCACCGGUAAAAAGCCCAAUGUUUCAUAUUUUAGAGUCUUUGGUAGCAAAUGUUUUAUUCUUAUUAAAAGAGGUAGAAAAUCUAAAUUUGCUCCUAAGGCUGUAGAAGGCUUUUUACUUAGUUAUGACUCAAACACAAGGGCAUAUAGAGUCUUCAACAAAUCCACUGGAUUAGUUGAGGUUUCUUGUGACAUUGUGUUUGAUGAGACUAAUGGCUCCCAAGUGAAGCAAGUUGAUCUUGAUGAACUAGAUGAUGAAGAGGCUUCGUGCGUCGCGCUAAGAAACAUGUCCAUUUGGGAUGUGUGUCCUAAGGAAUCCGAAGAGCCUCCACAAGCACAAGAUCAACCGUCAUCUUCCAACCAAGCAUCUCCACCUACUCAAGAUGAGGAUUAGGCUCAAGAUGAUGAAAAUGAAGAUCAAGAGGAUGAGCCACCUCAAGAGGAGGACAAUGAUCAAGGGGGAGGUGAUAAUGAUAAAGACAAGGAAGAUACUCAAGAAAUACAGGGUCAAAGACCGCCACACCCAAGAGUCCACCAAGCAAUUCAAAGAGAUCACCCCGUCAACUCCAUCCUUGGUGACAUUCAUAAGGGGGUAACCACUAGAUCUCGAGUUGCUCAUUUCUGUGAACAUUACUCUUUUAUGUCCUCUAUUGAGCCAUACAGGAUAGAGGAUGCACUAAGAGAUCCGGAUUGGGUGCUGGCAAUGCAAGAGGAACUCAACAACUUCACGAGAAAUGAGGUAUGGCAUUUAGUUCCACGUCCUAAUCAAAAUGUUGUAGGUACCAAAUGGGUAUUCCGCAACAAGCAAGAUGAGCAUGGUGUGGUGACAAGGAACAAAGCUCGACUUGUGGCCAAGGGUUAUUCACAAGUCGAAGGUUUGGACUUUGAUGAAACUUAUGCACACGUAGCUAGGCUUGAGUCAAUUCGUAUAUUACUUGUCUAUGCUACUUACCAUGGCUUUAAGCUUUAUCAAAUGGACGUGAAAAGUGCCUUCCUCAUUGGACCUAUCAAGGAAGAGGUCUAUGUUGAGCAACCUCCCGGCUUUGAAGAUAGUGAGUAUCCUAACCAUGUGUAUAAACUCUCAAAGGCGCUUUAUGGGCUCAAGCGAGCCCCAAGAGCAUGGUAUGAAUGCCUACGAUAUUUUCUUAUCACUAAUGGCUUCAAAGUCGGAAAAGUCGAUCCUACUCUCUUUACUAAAACUAUUGCAAAAGAUUUGUUUGUGUGCCAAAUUUAUGUUGAUGAUAUUAUAUUUGGGUCUACUAACAAUGGGCAGGUACGUUGUCAUGAGAUCCUCUGUUGCCCCAGCAGCCCGGGUCCUGCUUGGGCUCGUACUUGUUGACAUUGGAGACUUUGAAGUUUGGAGGCAACUGGAUUGCUCGGAGUCGGGGGUAAGAGCGGAGACACCGCACGUCCCCCUAUUCUCUCGUUGGUGACCGUGUCGUCGGUCCUAAGGAGGCGAACGAGCGUCAUGUCGCCUCGAUCGUCCUAGGGUUGGGCUACUAGUGGAAUCUAUUGGGGGCCUUCGUCUUCCGAAGGUCCUCAAAAACACGGCUAAUCAUUCGUUAUUAGCAUAUUGCUAUGUGUUACAAGAGUUUCAGAAUCAGAAUAAGCUUUGGCGUAGAACAAUGGAAGAGCAAUGAAGUAAACUUUAUCACAACGACGCAAGGUGACACAAGGAGAAGUUGUUAUUCCAAGUUGCUUGGAGCAAAUGACAAUGUUAUCCCUAUGAUAUUUGUAAACUUUAUGUGUAAUUUAUGAGGGCAUGAAUGCAAUAUUGUAUGAAGUUGUACGACUCCCUAUAUAUAGAUGAACAAUGUCCUGCAUAAAGUACCUUUUUAGUGGACAACACAAUUUCCCUGUAACUCUCUCUCUCUCUCUCCAUCACAUCUCUGUUGUAAUUCUCUUUACAAAUGUGGAAGGUACACUUGCAAAGUUAAAUUAAGUCAAAAGAAAAAUAUUGGGAAUAUAUCUCAAUUGAGUUACUAUAUACGAACUCUUUUGUAUUCCUUGUACCUUCAUGCAUUCACUUAAUAAUUACCUUCGUUGCCAAAGGAGUUAUCUCGGGUGGUUAACUCCUUCGUGACGAAGGUCAUCUAUUCUUUUAAUACUAUGUUGCCUUGUUUCUUGAUUGUAUUUAGCGAUCGGAAACAAGUGACCAACAGAAGCUACCGCUGACUCGGUUCUAGUCGCACGACUAUGUGCCAGUGCGCCAUGGUCCCGAUCCUACUCCUAUCGUCGCCUUAUCUCAUCCUUGUGCUAGCGAUCGCGUGAAGCGUUGAUGUUGCUUCGCGCGUCUCGCCGACUGUUGAUGGCAUGGCACAGGUCGUUCAGCGGGUCAGUGAGGGGCAGAAGGUGAUUUGCCACCUGGGUGAGCACUUGCCAAUAGCCCUCCACGUCUCGGGUGCGCGGUAUACCAUUGGCGGUCUGUGUCAGGACCCCUCCGACCUCGCUCGGUGUAUUCAGUGCCCAAGUGAAGUCAGGGAAUAGGUUUCGGGCGAGGAGCGGUUUUCGUGUUGGAGCCGAGCGUCCUGCUCGGCUUGUUCCUGCUCGCGUUCUUGUGUGUGGCGGCGAUCAUGGCGACAGGAAUUGCGGCGCUCUCAGUGUGUUCUUUCGUCGGGGGUCUCCCCCACCUCAAAAGCUUUGUUCGGAGAAACAGGUUGGGUUGUAUCACGCUCUCCAGCUUCAUGGUGACGCCAUAUGUUACGUCACAUGUUCCGACGUUGCCAUGCAUCGCGUUGGAGGGGCUCCUCCCCUAGCACAGUGGGCUCAUCGUUAGAGAUGGGCACUGUCUCCACUCUCUCUUGGAUGAAGAGGACAUCCAAGAAGACGGAGGUUGGAGAGGUGGUGUCUCCUCUCCCCUUGAGAGCGAAGUGGUCGGGACGAUCAUCGGUGGUGCUCCCUGGGUCUUGUCUGGAGCAUUCGUCUCCCUCUAUCGAGUGAUCUGUGUCCACACCUUAGUGGGAGAGGUGGAUAUCGGAGUUCAUCAUGCUGGAGAAGUUGUGGUUGAUCGAGCUAUAGUCAUCAGGGCGCUUCCGGGUUUGGCCUUGUGCGGGACCACACCCUUUGUUUCACCGGUGGGAUUCUCGCUGGUGUAGUUCGCGAUUUCCCCCGUCCACCUUUGGCGACCCCGAGGAAGAUUUCUUCCUAGGUGGAACCGCUAUGCGGUGCAGAGUUCCCUCCUGGUCUGCAAUGCAGGAGACGGCUCCAAAGCAGAAGACUGCUCCUAGACUGAAGGUGAUCAUGCUCUUGAAGGUGACUGCCAUGGAGUCGGCGCUUGUCAACGUCUCACCCCUACCUAGCGCACUAGUAGUCGGUAUUUGUUACCCGACUGCGCACCACGGGGUUUCCCACAUGAUGCUUUGGGCAGGACGACGUCGUUAAUCACGAUGCGAUAGUUCGUAUGGUGACAUGACAGAAAGUCACACGGAUUUAUACAGGUUCGGGCCACGAGAGCUGUGUAAUACCCUACUUCCUGUGGUGAUUCUUGUAUUGGGGGAGAGAUUACAAGUUGGGAACUAUGAGUGUUGUGGGUCAAGGUGAGAUGAAAAUGGUAGGGAUGCUUCCUAGCCUUAUAUACACGACCGAGGAGAGCUAUCCCGCACAAGUGAUUAACGUAAUCCAUUCGCCUAUCUCCCUGUUUGUAGCGAACCGUCUUCCUACUUCUCUAGAAUCCUCUUCAUUCAUCCGCCCGAGUUACCGCCGGGGGCUUAGCCUAUCUGGUGAUUGCAACUGUCCGCCCGAUAUGCUCGUGCUCCUGUAGCGCUUAACUCGGGUAUUGGCCUUUAUCGGUUCCAAGUGGGCUUGCCUCGCCUCGUUGCCUUCAGCUGGCCCAUCCGCAGGAUGACCCAGGAGGAAACCUAUCGGGUGACCCAGGACACGUUUUAGUGUACGUGAGGACCCGGGGGAUAUACAUCCCCCACAAUAGGAUAGUCAGGAUAGAAGAAUCUGAUGGCAUCAAAAACACGAUUUAGGUGGUGCCUCUUUUGGGCCCCGAAGGCCUGCUGAAGAGCUUCGACUUCUGACUUGCUGAAAUUACCAAGAAUUUCAUUGUAUUUUGCUUCAACAUAAUCUAGCCAGCCAUCGCUGGGCUCUCUGAACUCAUCCUUGAAUCUUUACUUAUAUCAAAGCCUAAUUAGCCCAGGCUCAGCAUCCGAUCGUUUCUUAAAUCCAAAAUUUGCGGCAAUAGCAGAUUAAAUGAUUCCUGAUAUGUUAGCAUGCUCGGUCAAGUCAUUCUUCAUAUAAAACCAUUCUUUUUCCCACUCAUUCGGUCACUUGCUUCGAUAGGCUAGGCCAGGAACAUUGCACCCCUUCGAUAUGCGAAGCGAUAACAACCAAAAUUAUUAUGGAGGCCUCUUGUUGCCUUCAUUUGGAAAUGUGGUUCAUGAACAUGAUUGAAGGCCUCGCACAAAGCUUCAACGUCAAAUUCCAUUCCUUGGCUUCGAAUAGCCCAGAAAAAAAUUCCUAAAAACACUAUAGCGGUUGGGGUAAGCUGAUGGAGAUAGAUGUUAAAUCGCUUCAGCACUGCAACAACCGUCUUAUGCAAGGGAGACCUAAGGUCAUUCUUCAAGAAACAUCGAAACACAACAACUUCGUCCUUCCUCAGACUCGGUACUAAUUCGUCACCCCUAACCGCACCUAGUCGAUGUAGCCAAAGCGGUUAAGUACCUCGAUGUGCCCUUCUUUGAUUUUGGAUUUCCCAAAGUCCACAUGGCUGGGCUUCGUAGGGUGGAUAACCGUGUUGUCCUCUUCAAAGUCCAUUUCCACACUGUCUUCGGAUUGGUUCAGCGAGCCAACUUCGGUCUGGGGAGCAGCUGCUCCCAUUGUCAGAAUAAUUUCUUCAGCUUGGGCCUCUGGCACAUUCUUCAGAGGUGUCAACGACAUCUUGAGCAGCAUUCUAAGCACAAGUGAUCCCUGAAACUAGCUAAGGCUGGCUCAGGAGCAAAUAGAUAGUGUUUGAAACUAGUGUCGAAGGCAGAACAAGCACUGGCAGCAGUAAGCACAAGCAGCAAAAGACGUACCCUAUAACGUUGGGCAACACCCCCUUUUAUACGUGUGGUCAUCUCACCUUAUCUGUCUCACCCAAUGACCAUUGGGUCCCACUGCAUGUCAACUGAUUUCAAAACGAGCUUCAGGAAGGUGUUUUCGGACCUUUGGUGCAAGGCCUCCCAAUUACAAAUUAUUGUGAUCUAAGCUCAGACUCAUCCCGCAAGGGGCUACUAUUGGGGGCCUAUAUUGCCGAAGGUCCUUGGUCUUGUUAUGUCAGAAUUACCUUAAGGGUACAAGGUUUUGCCGAAGGUCACUUGAAUCUCAAAGAUUAUUUAUCUAACAUCUGGCUUCAACGAUUAACAAGUGUGUUUUAGGAGUGUUCUUACAGGAGUACGAAGCCAAGCUUCGACGGAGAGCGACAUACAAAAACACCAUCUAUAUGUAAGCGAUAAAGACAGUGGCUGAAGACAGCAGCUUCGGCCAUAAACCGAAAGGAAGAAGCAGCUGGGUGACAAAGGAUAGGACUCGUGAAGUCAAGAACGAAUAAAAGUACACCACCGUCCUGAUACCGUUUGUAAAUGACUUAUGUGAAAAUGGAUGGGCAUUAUUGUAAAUCCAUACUAGGUUGGUUCAUCUCCCCUAUAAAUAGAUACAUUACCCUGCAUAAAGUACCUUUAGCCAGGUGUUACAACUUCACAUAGCUCAGCCUCUGAAACACAUUCGUUCUAUCUUACAUCAAGAAGCCGAAGGUAUGAUUGUAAACUUAUAUUGUAUGAGAAGAGAAAUAAAAUGCUAAGGCAUAUGCGAUGAGUUCUCAUAUCUCACUUCGUCAUACUCUAUAUAUUCCAUUCGAUUGCAUUCAACCUUCAUCCUCGAAGGAUUAUCCCAAAGAGAUGACACUUCAAAGGCGAAGGCUUCUACUUUUAACAUUGUGUUGCCUUGUUUUUAACAUUAUGUUGCCUUGUUUUUAAUUCCAUACAGCAAUUAAAAACAAGUGAUCAACAAGGUAUAUAAAACAAUCGAUGUUCGAAAUCUACUUCUCCAUGAUCGAACACUGCAUUUCACGAGAUGUAACAAAAACAAUGCUAAAAGUUUAGAGUGACAACCUCAGAUCUCUAAAUAAACAGAGGAUGCAAAUCAUUGCUCUGCCAGCCAGCUGUAAAAGGUUCCAGCAUGCCAUGACCCUUGAACUUGGAAGAAUCAUUUUGCAUACCAGAAACAGGCAAUAGUGUACACGGCAAUCUAGCUUCGCAUAAACCCAAGGCAUAUAACAGAACAAAAAUGCAUGACAAUUGUUCGACACUAACCAAACCAUAUAUAUAAGCAUCAAAAAUAGGUAGACAACACAAAGUUGAAACAACCCACAUUAAUUGUGUGGUGUGUUCUAUGAAGAGAGAUUAAAUCUAGAAUCAACUUCGAUUUCUCUUGCUGUAAAAUCUCUAAACGCCAUAAAAGGCUUCUAAUUCGGUUGUUGAUGUAUUAUCCUCCUAUGGAGCCACCUUUGAUGCAAGUGAGUCUAUAAUGAUUAGACCAAGCACCAGGCUUUGUAAAAUGGGUCGAUCACCUUUGACAGCAAGCAACACUAGUGUAGGUUGGUUAGGUUUGGAGGCGAUGAUAAGGAGUUUUAAUCCAAUUUCAAGAAUCCGAAGGGAAUUUAGACAAGCUCAAAAUCGUGCUAGUUAAUAUGUUAGCAGGUAGCGACAAACGGAACGACGAGAGCCCUUGUCUUAUAAUCAGGCACACGCGUGAGGAUGGAUAAGCAACAAAUUAUCGAUUGUCUGGGGACGGAGACUGCUUGGAGAAGGAGAGGACACACACCUUUAUCUCUCAAAGGGAAGCACGAGAGACUAAAGACAACUACGACUGUGGCGUGAGGGUUCGGCGAUGGAAGACCUGUUGCAAUUUAAUCUCUCUAAACAACCCACAUUAAUUGUGUGGUGUGUUCUAAAUAGAAGCUACCGAAUCUAAAAAACCUAACCAUCUAAUUUGGAACGGAAAUCGAAGUAGAAAAGGAGUGACAAUGUAAUAUACCUUUGGUCGUGUGGCGUGUCAAUGCUCUCCCGGCGGUGGUGGAGUGAGAGGGGUUAGGGUUUUGCCUUCCCCUCCCCAAAUCUAAUUUGGUUCGAUCUGAUCUGAUGGAUGGAAAGUAAAGUGGGAGGGAGUGGCGGCGGACCUCCAUGGCGCAGGUGGCGUUUUCGAAGCCACGGUUGGUGAUCUAGUAGGCGAACACCAGGUGCUGCGGUGGUGCGGUCACCUUGUGGCUGUUGUCGCUGUCCCUGCCCUGAACCCUCAUCCUCUGUGUUUGGUUUGAUGUCAAAGUGGGAUGAGCCGGAGGCGACACCGUCCCCUCGGUUUUUGGGGACCACACCGCCACCAAAAACUACUCCGGUGUUUACCUCGUCCCUAUGUGACUCUCAUCCAAACACUAUAGAAACUGUGACCGCCUCAUUCUAUUCCUCCAUGUACAUCCAACCAAACACACCCUAGGUAUCAGCCUCCGCGAUCCCAGACGAGGUGGGAGAGAAGUGGGCACACACAGAGAGAGGGGACGUCGCAUGUGGGUUUUUGCAAAAUCGCUAAUAACACACGAAGGGAGGUGUGCAUGCGAUCGAAGUUGGAUUGUGGGUUUGAUUUUAAAACUUAUAAGGAGCUUUUCGCAAAAGUGACGAUGAUGGAACCAUUGAAUUAUGGAAACUGGUGCUUUAUAAUAAUAGAAUAGAGACAGAUAAUAGAUUCUUUUAGAUGAUUCUAUACUUAAUGAAUUUAGAUAUAGAGGAGAGACAUAAAAAAUACUAUUAAAACAAAUUUUACGACAAAGUAUAAAGAAGGACUAGUAUAAUGAUCGUACGCUUUGUCGUGUUUAGCUUGAGUGCUUACACCCCUUCUGUCGUGUAACAACUCAUGUGUGAUGUGCCAUGUUUGGUUAUUCUAAUUCUACGUGGAUUGAAGUGUAUUAAUAUGAAUUGAGAUAGAUUAAGAUUUGCUAUGGCUGACUUAAUACCAUACCAUCCAUAUGAAUUAAUGGUGAAACAAAUAAACUCCUUGUUCGGUUAUUCUAAUUCUAUAUAAUUUAGAAUAUAUUAAAAUUAAUUGUAAUGAAUUUUAACUUACUAUAGAUUUAAACUGACUCAAUAUAAUUUAUUCAUUAUGAAUUAAUAUGAAUUAAGGGGGAAACGAACUAGCUCUCAAAGUCAAUAAAGCGGCUACACGUUUCGCCCAAGUUCAAAUCCCAUCCAGAGAUUAUCGAAGCAACGAGCGCCGCUCCCCUUCACCCCUCCGCCUCCCUCCAAAACUCAAAUUGACCUAGCGAGAAGCAGAAGAGGCGAAGAGUGAUAACGAACCUCUCCCACAUCGAUUUCCCCAAAUCGCCUGGCGCGAUGACCACGGUAUGUUGACCCCUUCGAUCCUCGAUUUUUCUUGUACUGUCUCCUCUCCUCCGUCUCCGUCGAUCAUAUCGGGCGAGGUUAGGGAGACGGUUUGUCUGGCGAAGCUACGGAGGUAGAUU
rnacentral:lncRNA from 1 species